UACGUAGGGGGCGAGCGUUGUCCGGAAUUAUUGGGCGUAAAGAGCUCGUAGGUGGCCUGUCGCGUCGGCUGUGAAAACUCGGGGCUCAACUCCGAGCUUGCAGUCGAUACGGGCAGGCUAGAGUUCGGCAGGGGAGACUGGAAUUCCUGGUGUAGCGGUGAAAUGCGCAGAUAUCAGGAGGAACACCGGUGGCGAAGGCGGGUCUCUGGGCCGAUACUGACACUGAGGAGCGAAAGCGUGGGGAGCGAACAGG
rnacentral:rRNA from 1 species